UACAGAGGGUGCGAGCGUUAAUCGGAAUUACUGGGCGUAAAGCGCGCGUAGGCGGCUUUGCAAGUCGGGUGUGAAAUCCCCAGGCUUAACCUGGGAACUGCAUUCGAGACUGCAUUGCUAGAGUAUGGGAGAGGGAAGUGGAAUUUCCGGUGUAGCGGUGAAAUGCGUAGAUAUCGUAAGGAAGGCCGGUGGCGAAAGCGAGCCUCUGGACAGUUACUGACGCUGAUGCACGAAGGCCAGGGGAGCAAACGGG
rnacentral:rRNA from 1 species